rnacentral:lncRNA from 1 species
AGUUGCUGGGGGUCCCUAGGCCGGGCCCCAGGACAUCUAGGACAUGCCGGGGGCUGUUUGCUACGGCUUCAUCCCGGAGCUCCUGCUCGGGGUUGCCGGCUGCCUCUGCUGGCGUCCCUCUUCCCUUCCUUUGCGUAAGCGGCAACUCCUCCAGGAAGCCAGGGGAAGGACGGGAUUUCCUCUCCACGUAGGGUAGUAGAUCGCAUAGCCCAGCCGGAUCGCCCAGCAGGAGUGCAGGGCGCGCGUCGGGGUGUCUCCGGCUUGUGGGUGUGCGGUUCGAAACCUUAGCUGGGGUGGGGGAAGGGAUGUCUUUAACCUUCUGUCUACCGUCCCCCUCUUCCCUCUCUCAGCCUAGAGGCAGGGGAUGCUGCGGAAUCAGACUGGGUGCACCAAGGCGGAGGGCCAUGCCGGGCUUCGCCCUUCCUGGGUGUCCCGGAGUCCGUUCCGGAGAAACCCUGGCAUUGCCAGAACUGGGUCCCCGCACUCACUCCUCCAUAAUUCGCGGCGGAUCAGCGGGAGGAGGGCAGAGGGCGGGGGCGAGGCAGCUUCCUGGCGGGUGUGGCGCAAAGUGUGCGGGGUGUGGCGCAAAGUGCGCGGACCCGGGUCCUGGACCGAAGAUUUAGCCCAGGGUUUCGUGUGUGUUGCUCCCUGUUGCUUUCUACGGGGUCUGCGCUGGCCUCCUCCUCGGGCGACUGGGCCCUGAGGCAACAGCGCCUUCUCGAGCCCCGAGGAUUGACCGCCCCGAGCCUGCUUGGAGCAGGGCCUCUCUCCAGCGCGGUGUGAUGAAACACCAGCUGCUGUGAAGAUAUACCCUUAGAAACGAACCGUCUGUUAAUAUGGAAAAAAACCAUUCUUCCAGGAGAGGCUCCUCCAAGCAAACUUCCCCUUACAUCUCUUACCAGAACUGGGUCACAUGCUCCCAUCUAAAACAACCACUGGCCAUUAGAAAUGGUGUUACCAUGCCUGUCUUGGACCAAUCACAUUUGAUCCUCUGAGGAUAGAGACAUGUUGCCACCUGAACAACUGUGGGGUGCUGUACUCCUGGCAAGCAGGGAGAAUGGCUGUGGCUAGGCAACUGACAGCAUCUACCACAAAUAUGUUACUCAGAAGAAGAAUCGAGGAUGGCCAUAAUUUUUAUUUAAAGAUUUCUAUUUUACAGAGGCAUAUCUGAUUAAGGGACAUUUAAACUUCCCUGUUAAACUUAUCAAGACAAAAAGACAAGGCAUCUUGCCACAUUUCUUAAAUAUUCUCUGCAGUCUCUCUUGACCUUUUCCCAGCUGUGCUGUAAACAUAAAGAUAAUAACAUAUCUGAAUAACAUUUUAUGGUGCACAGAUAAUUUUCACAUACAUUAUCCAUUUGACCCUCACCAUAACUGUGUGGGGUAGGUAAGGUACGAUUGUACUUUUCAUUAAUUUUUUUUUUUUUGAGACACAGUCUCGUUCUGUCACCCAGGCUAGAGUGCAGUGGUGCGAUCUGGGCUCACUGCAACCUCCACCUCCCAGGUUCAAGUGAUUCUCCUGCCUCAGCCUCCAAGUAGCUGGGAUUACAGGCAAGUGCCACCAUGCCUGGCUAGUUUUUGUAAUUUUUUAGUAGAGACAGGGUUUCACCAUGUUGGCCAGGCUGGUCUAGAACUCCUGACCUCAGGUGAUCCACGUGCCUCGGCCUCCCAAAGUGCUGGGGUUACAGGCAUGAGCCACUGCUCCUGGCCACUUUUCAUUAAUUUUUAUUGGACUUAGGAUUAGAAGGAUGAGCAAAUCCUACUACUUAGUGCGUGGAAUACUGGCAUCUAUUGUUUUUGCUUGGCUCCUCUCUUGUUUUAAUAAUUAACUAAUCGAUCCAUUCUCUUUUAUUGCCAUCUCCCACUCACACUUUUUCCUCCACAUAGGCAAUCAUUCUAAAUAUGUCCAAUGUUUAUCUUAUUUGUAUGCGUAUUUAUAAAGUGAAUAUUUUGUUUAGUGUGUAUGCAGUUUCGUUUGCAUAAAUUGUAAUAUUCUGUGAAUCUCAUUCUGUUUUGUACUUUUUUCAUUCUGCUCUGUUUUUAGAAGUGAUCCAUGUUGCUAUGUGUAUCUACUCCAUUGCCUUUAAAUGCUGCAUAAUACUCCACGGUGUUUGUCGAUCAUGUUUUACUCAUCUUUGCCCCCUAGUGGAAACCAUGAUGGCCUCCAACUCUGCACACAAAUAGUUUCAAACAAGAACCGCUGGUGAAAUGUGACUGCUGAUGGACCUGGGUGGGAAUUUCUCUGGGAUGCCGACUAAAAAGCAUGGUGGCUGGGUCAUAAAAUGCACACUUAAUUUGAAUAAGUGCCACCCAGUGGCUCUCCACAAAGCCUGCACUAGUCCAUUCUACUAGAAAUUAUUCACAUUUAACUGGAAACUGGGUCUUGGAGAUGUUAAGUAACUUGCUCAAGCUCACAUAAGGAGUAAAAGUGAAUUAGGACAUCCAGGACCCAAAUCCAGGCCUUGUAACUUCAGGUCAAUUUUAUUUUCCAGGGCACCACCCUCUAAGUCUCUGGAUCAUAAUAUGGAGCACUAAUAAAAAGAUUUCUUGAGGCUUUUGUUAUUUACAUAAUGAAUUUCAGAAAUGGCUUACUGGUGCUACUGGCAAGUUGCAGGCAGAAGAAAGAAUGAAAGCGAAUGGGCAUCUCAUGUUCUAUUCUCUGAUUCAACCUGUUUUGGGUCCCUUUUGACUGCUUUACCACAGUUGCUAUUACAUUAUUUUGGGAAGUAUUUAAAAAAGAAGAGAAAGUGCUGGAUAUCUGAACUCCUUUCCUCCAGUCUGCCAUGGGCCAAAAUGUAGUACCACCAUGCCUGACUAGAAAGUAAAAGAGGAAUCAUAGAAUCAGAUAGUGUUAUAACCAGAAUGGGCCUUACAGACCAUUUAGUCUAGUCCUCCCAUUUUAUAGAUGAGAAAAUGGAGGCCCAGAGAGAGGAAGACAGUUGCCUGAGGUCACACAGCUGGAAGGAGAGCAGGAUGGGCACCCAGGCUUUCUGAAAACCAGUCUCUUUGAUGCAGGUGAACCCCCACAUUGGGGCUCAGCUCAAGAGGGUUCUUAGCUUUGCUCAGGAAGGAAUUCAAGAGUGAGCUGACAGUUAAAGAAAGCAAGUUUUUAGAGCAAUAGUGUACAGCAAAAUGGCUGCUCCACAGACAGAGCAGGGCCAUCCCAUAGGCAGAGUAGCACUUGUGCAUUGCUGGCUAGCUCUAUUUAUAGCUGCUCCUAAUUAUAUGCUAAAUAAGCGGUGGGUUAUUCACAGAUUUUCUAGAAAAGGUGUGGGGAAUUUCCAGAACUGAUGGUUCCUUCCUCUUUAAACCAUGUAAGGUAACUUCUGGGUUUUGCCAUGACAUCAACUGUCAUGGUGCUGGUGGGAAGUGUUUUACAGCAUGCAAAUGUAUUAUAAUUCCUAGUCCUAACUGCUUUUGGCUGGUUCCUUUGCUACAUCCUGUUUUGAUCAGCAGUGUCAUGAAAACAAGUCCUGUUCAUCUCCUACCUCUCCUUGCCCUUUCCACUUUUCUGCACACAGCAACUUUCACCUGCGCACCCAGGAAUCCACACUUUAAGUCUUAACAACCUGAGGUGUUGUUGAGAAAAAACUACAAACAGUGGUGCGCUGGCAAAUCUUUAACAAUCACCUGGGGUGGGGUGGGGUGUGGAUAAACAAGCCUUAUUUGUAGCAUAUGGCCAAUUUCAAGCUGCCAAAGUGCUGUCACUGAACGUGAAGUAGUGGGAGCAGGGCAGCAGAGGGCCACCAAUCAGAGGCAUUUCCACCAAACAGAUGCAAUUGGCAUAAGUAACUGCAAGGGCACGGACAACCGCAAGGUCUGCUAAAAGGAUUAGGAAGUGAUGAGUUUUGAGUGUUUAUUACUUUUGGUUUUAGUGUAACUUAUUUGUAAGCUUACAUAAUUUAAUGUCUAAUAAGGGCAAUGUUUA